rnacentral:lncRNA from 1 species
ACCACAAUAGACGCAGGGAAAUAAAGAGUCAAAACAGAAAAAAAAAAUGUUUUUGGAAAGUGCUUUAGGUGUUCAGCCGUACACUUUGGCGUUAGAUCUAGUGAAAUUUUCGUGGAUGUUGGAAAAUCUAAAGUUGGGAAUAGAUUGAGGAGGCCAACGGGGAUUUCUAGGAGACAUUCACGCAAGUCCGAUAUCAGCGAACGGCGACUGAUACGGCGGGAGUCGCUGGUUUUCUGAAAACCUUGAAGAACAGUGGUCAGUGUUCAUCCUGUUAUCGAGAGAAAAUAGAGUAUUUGAGGACAAAUAGAGAAAAUUGGGAGAAGAAUGAAAUAAAAAAUUUUUAUUUUUAGUAUUUAAAGGAACAAACAACGGUGCCGUUUUGAGAGGAAAUUUUUAUUGAAGAUCCACUCAUUUGUCUGAAAUUUUUAACCCGACCCGAUCACGAUCUGUCCGGUAACUUACGUCUGAUUGAAGCUAUGAGCCGAGCUUAUUGAGUCGAGACUAAUAACCAAGCUAAUUCUUUUUGUUUCUAUAGCUGAAUUGAAUCGCACCUUCCCCGAGUCGAACAGAUUCCUUUCG